AAAGAGGCUUUAUAUGAGAACGGAUCAAGCGUUCGAGAGUUGGGACAGGGAAAUGUGAGACGUACUUUCAUGUAUAUAUUUCUAAUAUUAUUUUUUCGUCUUGUAUUUUCCUUAAUUUUUCUCUAGGAAACACUGGAACGACACUGCUUAAAUUGUAGCACAGUGUGCGAAUGACCUGCUACGCUCGGAACUGUUAUCACCAUUCGGGAAGAAAUCAGAUGAAAAAACAAAACUGUAAAUACCUGUACGAUAUACGUCUGGUGCAUUGCAGGUAAGAAUGGAUUGUGUGUGGCGCUUCACCGCAUGUGGACUAGAGUAGAUCUAGGAACAUCAGACAAGAAGACAGUUAUGUGAAACCCUGCGGAUAGCCCAUAUGUGAACUUUUUUUCCAGAUACGGAGGAACGGACACCGGUCAUGCCGUGCGCACUCUUCUGCAGGGCAUACUUACAAAUGAAGCUGCACUGCAGUUCAGCUGGAAAGGGUCGCAGGGGAGGAAGCACGCCUUCGUGAAGCUCACGGCCAUCACGAAUCUCAUUCUAACAUCUGUGAGGAGCACCUUCCCAGGCGCUUCACUGGCAUCAGUGGCAGGAGUCACGAAACGUUGCCCAUGAAACACGCAAGGAGCUAUUUGAUGUCUAAAAGAUGUCUUGAACGGCUAAUUCAAAAGCCUAGUAGCUGUCUUGAUCAAGACAUUUUGUAGCCAUGGACGUCUAGAAGUACUUCAGUAAGCCCUGCUAACAUUACGCUAAAAGUUGGCUAAUAGACAGGUUGACAAGAACAACUCAAGACUUUUAUUAGACAUUCCCUCAAAUUUUUGCGGCAGCUGUUACAGUAACACGACGUUUGCCCACAGUCACAAUUUAUUUUGAACGAGGC